UCGAUGAGUAGGGCGGGACACGUGACAUCCUGUCUGAAUAUGGGGGGACCAUCCUCCAAGGCUAAAUACUCCUGACUGACCGAUAGUGAACCAGUACCGUGAGGGAAAGGCGAAAAGAACCCCGGCGAGGGGAGUGAAAUAGAACCUGAAACCGUGUACGUACAAGCAGUGGGAGCACCUUCGUGGUGUGACUGCGUACCUUUUGUAUAAUGGGUCAGCGACUUAUAUUUUGUAGCAAGGUUAACCGUAUAGGGGAGCCGUAGGGAAACCGAGUCUUAACUGGGCGAUUAGUUGCAAGGUAUAGACCCGAAACCCGGUGAUCUAGCCAUGGGCAGGUUGAAGGUUGGGUAACACUAACUGGAGGACCGAACCGACUAAUGUUGAAAAAUUAGCGGAUGACUUGUGGCUGGGGGUGAAAGGCCAAUCAAACCGGGAGAUAGCUGGUUCUCCCCGAAAGCUAUUUAGGUAGCGCCUCGUGAACUCAUCUUCGGGGGUAGAGCACUGUUUCGGCUAGGGGGCCAUCCCGGCUUACCAAACCGAUGCAAACUCCGAAUACCGAAGAAUGUUAUCACGGGAGACACACGGCGGGUGCUAACGUCCGUCGUGAAGAGGGAAACAACCCAGACCGCCAGCUAAGGUCCCAAAGUCAUGGUUAAGUGGGAAACGAUGUGGGAAGGCAUAGACAGCCAGGAUGUUGGCUUAGAAGCAGCCAUCAUUUAAAGAAAGCGUAAUAGCUCACUGGUCGAGUCGGCCUGCGCGGAAGAUGUAACGGGGCUAAACCAUGCACCGAAGCUGCGGCAGCGACGCUUAGCGUUGUUGGGUAGGGGAGCGUUCUGUAAGCCGUUGAAGGUGGCCUGUGAGGGUUGCUGGAGGUAUCAGAAGUGCGAAUGCUGACAUAAGUAACGAUAAAGCGGGUGAAAAGCCCGCUCGCCGGAAGACCAAGGGUUCCUGUCCAACGUUAAUCGGGGCAGGGUGAGUCGACCCCUAAGGCGAGGCUGAAAAGCGUAGUCGAUGGGAAACAGGUUAAUAUUCCUGUACUUGGUGUUACUGCGAAGGGGGGACGGAGAAGGCUAGGCUAGCCGGGCGACGGUUGUCCCGGUUUAAGCGUGUAGGGGGUGUGACCUGGUAAAUCCGGUUGCAUGCUAACCCUGAGGCGUGAUGACGAUGCACUACGGUGCAGAAGUAGUUGAUGCCCUGCUUCCAGGAAAAUCCUCUAAGCUCCAGGUAACAUUAAAUCGUACCCCAAACCGACACAGGUGGUCAGGUAGAGAAUACCAAGGCGCUUGAGAGAACUCGGGUGAAGGAACUAGGCAAAAUGGUGCCGUAACUUCGGGAGAAGGCACGCUGGCAUGUAGGUGAAGUCCCUCGCGGAUGGAGCUGAAGCCAGUCGAAGAUACCAGCUGGCUGCAACUGUUUAAUAAAAACACAGCACUGUGCAAACACGAAAGUGGACGUAUACGGUGUGACGCCUGCCCGGUGCUGGAAGGUUAAUUGAUGGGGUCAGCCGCAAGGCGAAGCUCUUGAUCGAAGCCCCAGUAAACGGCGGCCGUAACUAUAACGGUCCUAAGGUAGCGAAAUUCCUUGUCGGGUAAGUUCCGACCUGCACGAAUGGCGUAAUGAUGGCCAGGCUGUCUCCACCCGAGACUCAGUGAAAUUGAACUCGCUGUGAAGAUGCAGUGUACCCGCGGCAAGACGGAAAGACCCCGUGAACCUUUACUAUAGCUUGACACUGAACAUUGAGCCUUGAUGUGUAGGAUAGGUGGGAGGCUUUGAAGCGUGGACGCCAGUCUGCGUGGAGCCAUCCUUGAAAUACCACCCUUUAAUGUUUGAUGUUCUAACUCGGCCCCAUAAUCUGGGGUGAGGACAGUGUCUGGUGGGUAGUUUGACUGGGGCGGUCUCCUCCCGUGAUCCGGGGUGAGGACAGUGUCUGGUGGGUAGUUUGACUGGGGCGGUCUCCUCCCAAAGAGUAACGGAGGAGCACGAAGGUUAGCUAAUCACGGUCGGACAUCGUGAGGUUAGUGCAAAGGCAUAAGCUAGCUUGACUGCGAGAGUGACGGCUCGAGCAGGUACGAAAGUAGGUCUUAGUGAUCCGGUGGUUCUGAAUGGAAGGGCCAUCGCUCAACGGAUAAAAGGUACUCCGGGGAUAACAGGCUGAUACCGCCCAAGAGUUCAUAUCGACGGCGGUGUUUGGCACCUCGAUGUCGGCUCAUCACAUCCUGGGGCUGAAGUAGGUCCCAAGGGUAUGGCUGUUCGCCAUUUAAAGUGGUACGCGAGCUGGGUUUAGAACGUCGUGAGACAGUUCGGUCCCUAUCUGCCGUGGGCGUUGGAAGAUUGAGAGGGGUUGCUCCUAGUACGAGAGGACCGGAGUGAACGCACCACUGGUGUUCGGGUUGUCAUGCCAAUGGCAUUGCCCGGUAGCUAAGUGCGGAAAAGAUAAGCGCUGAAAGCAUCUAAGCGCGAAACUUGCCUCAAGAUGAGUCUUCCCUGGGCCUUCAAGGCCCCUGAAGGAACGUUUAAGACUAAGACGUUGAUAGGCUGGGUGUGUAAGUGCAGCGAUGCAUUGAGCUAACCAGUACUAAUGAUCCGUGAGGCUUAACCUU
rnacentral:rRNA from 1 species